rnacentral:rRNA from 1 species
CGGACGAGCAAUAUGAAGGUCAGGCUGAAGACCUUACCCGAUUAGCUGAGAGGUGGUGCAUGGCCGUCGUCAGUUCGUACUGUGAAGCAUCCUGUUAAGUCAGGCAACGAGCGAGACCCACGUCCACAGUUGCCAGUAUACCCUCCGGGGUGAUGGGUACACUGUGGAGACCGCCGCUGCUAAAGCGGAGGAAGGAGUGGGCAACGGUAGGUCAGUAUGCCCCGAAUCUCCCGGGCUACACGCGGGCUACAAUGGUUGGUACAAUGGGCAUCUACCCCGAAAGGGGAAGGAAAUCUCUUAAAGCCAAUCGUAGUUCGGAUUGAGGGCUGCAACUCGCCCUCAUGAAGCUGGAAUCCGUAGUAAUCGCGUUUCAACAGAACGCGGUGAAUACGUCCCUGCUCCUU